AGAACGAACGCUGGCGGCAUGCCUAAUACAUGCAAGUCGAAUGAACACUUCGGUGUUAGUGGCGCACGGGUGCGUAACGCGUGGGAAUCUGCCCUUGGGUUCGGAAUAACAGUUGGAAACGACUGCUAAUACCGGAUGAUAUCGAAAGAUCAAAGAUUUAUCGCCCAGGGAUGAGCCCGCGUAGGAUUAGCUAGUUGGUGAGGUAAAGGCUCACCGAAGGCGACGAUCCUUAGCUGGUCUGAGAGGAUGAU
rnacentral:rRNA from 1 species